rnacentral:rRNA from 11 species
UGACCGAUAGUGAACCAGUACCGUGAGGGAAAGGUGAAAAGCACCCCGAUGAGGGGAGUGAAAUAGACCCUGAAACCGAACGCUUACAAUCAGUGGGAGCCCGUAAGGGUGACCGCGUACCUUUUGUAUAAUGGGUCAGCGACUUAAUCUGACGAGCAAGCUUAAGCCGAUAGGUGUAGGCGCAGCGAAAGCGAGUCUUAAACGGGCGUUUAAGUUCGUCGGAUUAGACCCGAAGCCGAGUGAUCUAGCCAUGGGCAGGUUGAAGGUGCGGUAACACGCCCUGGAGGACCGAACCCACGUCUGUUGAAAAAGACGGGGAUGACCUGUGGUUAGGGGUGAAAGGCCAAUCAAACUCGGAAAUAGCUGGUUCUCCGCGAAAGAUAUUUAGGUAUCGCCUCGGACGAAUACCUUGGGGGGUAGAGCACUGGAUGGGCUAGGGGGUC